GAACUAUAAUUUUCUUUUUGCAUAUACAUAUACUAUAGGUAAGAAGAUAAAUGUAUAGUAGGAAACAAAAUGAAACGCAAACAAAAGUAAAAUACAAAGAGGGGCUAGAAGAAGAUUUCAGUUUUGCGGAAGCAAAACGUAUGAUGGGCAGUUUUGUACAGCUGGUAGAGAAAUGAAGCCACCCUAAAGUAAUGAGAGGUAGUAUAGCCAGUUUUUCCUGUUUAACCACUUGAUAAAAGUUCAGUACCAGUGACCGUUAUUAGCCCAGAGCAGUAGCAUAGAAACAUGGAGUACUUUCAGCAGAGGUGUCAAGGAGCUGCUGUCUUGUUACCUGUCCAUUGUUUUAUUGAUAGGCUGCUAGGGGGAAAGGGAGGUGGAUGCACUCCAACUUGCAGCACAGAAAUAAAAUUUAUCAGAGCAAAAGUCACAUAGCUGAAGGCACUUGGGAAAGUAAUGAAAGUCAAA